UGCAGUCGAGCGGACAGAUGGGAGCUUGCUCCCUGAUGUUAGCGGCGGACGGGUGAGUAACACGUGGGUAACCUGCCUGUAAGACUGGGAUAACUCCGGGAAACCGGGGCUAAUACCGGAUGGUUGUCUGAACCGCAUGGUUCAGACAUAAAAGGUGGCUUCGGCUACCACUUACAGAUGGACCCGCGGCGCAUUAGCUAGUUGGUGAGGUAACGGCUCACCAAGGCGACGAUGCGUAGCCGACCUGAGAGGGUGAUCGGCCACACUGGGACUGAGACACGGCCCAGACUCCUACGGGAGGCAGCAGUAGGGAAUCUUCCGCAAUGGACGAAAGUCUGACGGAGCAACGCCGCGGUGAGUGAUGAAGGUUUUCGGAUCGUAAAGCUCUGUUGUUAGGGAAGAACAAGUGCCGUUCAAAUAGGGCGGCACCUUGACGGUACCUAACCAGAAAGCCACGGCUAACUACGUGCCAGCAGCCGCGGUAAUACGUAGGUGGCAAGCGUUGUCCGGAAUUAUUGGGCGUAAAGGGCUCGCAGGCGGUUUCUUAAGUCUGAUGUGAAAGCCCCCGGCUCAACCGGGGAGGGUCAUUGGAAACUGGGGAACUUGAGUGCAGAAGAGGAGAGUGGAAUUCCACGUGUAGCGGUGAAAUGCGUAGAGAUGUGGAGGAACACCAGUGGCGAAGGCGACUCUCUGGUCUGUAACUGACGCUGAGGAGCGAAAGCGUGGGGAGCGAACAGGAUUAGAUACCCUGGUAGUCCACGCCGUAAACGAUGAGUGCUAAGUGUUAGGGGGUUUCCGCCCCUUAGUGCUGCAGCUAACGCAUUAAGCACUCCGCCUGGGGAGUACGGUCGCAAGACUGAAACUCAAAGGAAUUGACGGGGGCCCGCACAAGCGGUGGAGCAUGUGGUUUAAUUCGAAGCAACGCGAAGAACCUUACCAGGUCUUGACAUCCUCUGACAAUCCUAGAGAUAGGACGUCCCCUUCGGGUGCAGAGGACAG
rnacentral:rRNA from 1 species